GGGUGUACCAUAUAUAUUCUGAUAUUUGAUAACGAUUUGAAAUUGAGAUAUCCACUGAAUAUAAUGACCCUUUGGCCGUUGGCGAAAAGCUGUAGGCCACAUAAUUUAAAAAAAAAAAAAAAAAAAUAUAAGAAGUGUAGUGAAGUGAUUGUAGAGCGGUAUCUUGCCUUACCUAUGUAACAAUAUUUGAUUGUGCACAAUGGAGGAUGAUGAGGAAAUCGUGUACGUUAACCCUACGCUGUUUCUUAAUUACCGUGGCGACCCGUUGAUGUUUGAUAUCAAACCAUGCAAAGAGAGAAGAAGAUUAAGAAAAUUAGUUGAAAAGGGCAAUGGUGUUGUUGUUUUAGCUCCUGGGCCUUAUUCUGUGACGUUCGUUCCCGAGGAUGUGCAGUACGAUGGUUAUGACGAAGUGUUCUCAGUCGGGUACAUCUAUGAAUGUUGUAAAUUUGCGAAACAGUUGGAUUUGAAGAAGUUCAAAGUGAAUAAUAAAUCUCGAUUGAAAAGCGAAUUUGACGUGAUGGAUGUGUUUAUGCGAAAAAUUUCGUGGAAUCGUGCGCAUGUAAAGUGGGGCAUGAAAGCCACAACCUCUACCAUUGAAAACAGCACACAUCCAUGCCUUACCCAGAAUUUGAACCCUGGAACCCUCACACCAAACCUGACCCUUCAACAAACUGGGUUUCGGAGGUCGGCUAUUUCUGAGGCUGAAGUGCCUUCCUGGGUAGCUGGCGACAGAAGAUGGCCGAUGUUGGAGGUAGUACGACAACAUUUAUUUUCUUGUUUUGCACUGAAUAAAAUCAUGAAUGAUUCCAUGUAUAUUAUGACAGAAGAAUAAUAAUUACCUAACUUGAA